GACGAACGCUGGCGGCGUGCCUAAUACAUGCAAGUAGAACGCUGAAGGAGGAGCUUGCUUCUCUGGAUGAGUUGCGAACGGGUGAGUAACGCGUAGGUAACCUGCCUGGUAGCGGGGGAUAACUAUUGGAAACGAUAGCUAAUACCGCAUAACAGUAGAUAUCGCAUGAUAUCUACUUGAAAGGUGCAAUUGCAUCACUACCAGAUGGACCUGCGUUGUAUUAGCUAGUUGGUGAGGUAACGGCUCACCAAGGCGACGAUACAUAGCCGACCUGAGAGGGGGAUCGGCCCACCUGGGAAUGAGACACGGCCCAGACUCCUACGGGAGGCAGCAGUAGGGAAUCUUCGGCAAUGGACGGAAGUCUGACCGAGCAACGCCGCGUGAGUGAAGAAGGUUUUCGGAUCGUAAAGCUCUGUUGUAAGAGAAGAACGAGUGUGAGAGUGGAAAGUUCACACUGUGACGGUAUCUUACCAGAAAGGGACGGCUAACUACGUG
rnacentral:rRNA from 1 species